rnacentral:lncRNA from 1 species
GGAUAGUAAGGAUGCUGGCAGGGAGGCAGCAAGAAGAUGCCAAGGGCUGGGCAGAGAGGGGAAGAGAAGGUGCUGCAAAAGGCAGUGGGUAAGGAAGGGCUAAGGCAAGGAAGACCCUCAAAGAGACCAGAGUUAGGGGAGAAAGGUGAGGAGAAAGGACCAGAGGGCCUGGGAGAGCUGAUAAAAAGCCUAGGAGAUACAUAAGAGAUCAGAAGAAUAGGUGAGAAGAACUGGGGGUGGCAGGCAGAGGACUUGGUUAGCAGCCAACACUAGCAUAGAGUGAAGAUCAUAGGAAAGGACAGAUCUGGGGGCAUGGAGUGGUAUGGGGAGUGGUAGGUAGAACAUGAGGAAUGCAGCAGGGCCUGAGAGAGAAGGCAGGAGAGGAAGAUCCUGCACUAAAACUCUAAAGCUAAAAAUAACAAGACACAGGAGUGAGGAGAAGAAAAGAGGGCAGGGUGAGGCAGAAAGAGAUUGAGAGGAGCCCAGGGAAGUCAGGCAGCUGGCACUUCAGGUGGGGAUGGACGCUUUACUUCUGUUCUCUUCCUCCAGGAGACCAAUGACCUCCGCCCCAAGACCUGAUAACACUCCAGUCCCAGGCCACUACAUUCAUACUACUGUCAUGGAAGACAGGAUGCUUCCUUUUGCUCCAGAACUGGGAAUUCAUCACAGCCUGAAAUCCAGGCUCAGUGAUGGUCACCUGGGCACUGUUGCAGUGUGAGGUGUUCUAGUGGGCCUGAGCUCCCUUUGGAGCCUAGGCAGGGGUCAGCCCUCACGCAGGUCUGGGUAAGCAGCAGGGGAUGCUUAUGCUUGGAGGGUUGGCUGGAGAAAAGUGCUGCGGAGGCAGGCAGGGGUGUUAGGGACACUAAC